ensembl:lncRNA
CGGAGCACCCCGCGUGCAGCAGCUGGCCAGCCGGGGGGCACUGGCCUCGCGGGCGCUGGACCCACAGCCAAGCCCUGUGAUCACCCUGGAGACCCAGGUCAGUACCUUCCCAUGGUCUCUGUCACUUUUUCUGCCCUGAUGCUUCUGGAAGAGUUCUCUGGGGCGUGUUUCUGCCUCCGCUGGGCUCCAGAACUCGGAAAGCCUGGACGGACACAUGAUGCCGCCCUCCUGCCCUGUAGGGAUGUGUACCUGCCUGCAGGUGUGUGUUCACACCCCAGCUGAUUGCAUAUGAGUGAGUGUGCACAUGCGUGUGUGCAGCCAGGUUCUGAAAGCAGCGUGGGAAGAACCGGACCCGUUCCUUUUGAGUUUUCCUCUGCCCUUUUCUUCCGCCCAGCCAUCACGAGGAGGUGACAGAUGAGGCACACAGCGAGGGGCCGGCUGCUCUUUCAUGUCUUGAGUUUGGAGAACUUUCUCCCCUUGGCAAUUCCUGGCAUCCUUGGGUCUGCUGGCACAGUGGGCUGUUCCGAGGGGUCUGCAUCACGGAGGCGUGGCCUUGUGGGGCAGGUGACAGCGAGCCUUGUGAGGACGGCCUGGCCCUUACUGUGCACUUUCUGCUUUCCUGGGAGAUGGGACAGAGCGCAGCUGUGGGUCCAGCAGCCACAGGUGGAACCCCAGAAUGUCUCAGCCCCCAUCUUUCCCUCUGGAAUAUUAUCGCCACAGGGACAGUGCCUACCCUGCAGGGCGGUGGUGAGACUUACAGGAAAUGGUCUCUACAAAGUGAUGGUACAGGAGUUCCCUGGUGGCCUAGAAUUUAAGGGUCCGGUGUUGUCACUGCUUUGGUGUGGGUUUGAUCCCUGGCCCAGGAAGUUCUACAUGAAAACAGAAAAAGGUCAUCGGUGCAUACUAAGUGCUUAGCAUUAUUAGUGUUUCAUUUAUUUAUUUACUUUUUCAGGGCCACACCCGUGGCCCAUGCAAGUUCCCAGGCUAGGGGUCCAUUCCGAGCUACAGCUGCCAGUCUGCACCAGAGCCACAGCAGCGCAGGAUCUGAGCCACGUCUGUGACCUAUACCACAGCUCACAGGGAUGCCGGAUCCUUAACCCACUGAUUGAAUCUGAGUCCUCAUGGAUACUGGUCGGGUUUGUUUCCUCUGAGCCACAAUGAGAAUUCCAGUACGAGUGUUUCAAACCCAUAGAACUGUUGGGUUUCUGAUGAGACGUGAAGGGGGCGUAUCUUUGGAUGACUCAUUCCAUCCAGCGCCCCACAGCUCAGGGUGUCAGCUGGGCCAAUGUCUCUGAGCAUCUCCAGGCUCCUCAGUGACUCUUGCAGUUUGCUCGUUGCCAAGGACCACAGGCCCCCCACCCUUCGACCCCCUCCCUGGCAUCUCUGCCCUGGACUUCCCCAGGGGAAUGAGGAGCAGCCUCAUCCCACCCCUUCCUCCUUCCUCCAUCAGGAGGGCCUGAUGUUGUGGGCAGAGUAGGUUCUCAGGGGCUCUCUGUGCUCGGCUGGCCUCUGGUUGACCCCCGCCCCCACUUUUCCCUGCGUCGGUUUCAGGGCUGACCAGACAGCAGAGCUGGCAGGAAGGGGCAGCGCGUGGGACUUUGAGGGGCCAAACGCCCAGUGCGCAGCCCCUGAUGGACCCUCCUCUGCUCUGGUUUUCCCCAACUUCUGCCGUUCCCUCAUCACCUCAGCCGUGCUUGCCAUGUGUGAAUAAGUCACCUAAAAAUACAUUUCCCUUUAAAUGAACAUAUUUAUUGUAUUCUUUUUUUUUUUUUUCCUUCCUUUUUUCGGCUGCCUGCAACGUAUGGAGCUCCUAAGCCAGGGAUCAGAUUUGAGCCACCGUUGAAACCUAUGCCACAGCUGCACCACACCUGUGCUGGGCCAGGACUAGAACCUGGGUCCCAGCGCUCCCAGAGACCCGCCCGUCCCCUUACACCACAGCCGGAUCUCCUAAAUUCACUUACUUUCCUUUCAGAAGGAGACUUGGCCUCAGCUAGCGGUUCCCCAUCAGGGGUGUCUUUGGCCCUCAGAGGACGUUUAGCCCUGUUGAGGCAUUUGGGUUUACCUCACCUUGCCAGGGAGCGGGGGUGGUUACUUACUGGUCUCUGGUGAGUAGAGACCAGAGAGGCUGCUAAACAUCCUACAAGACGCGGGACGUCCCCACAGGAAGAAUUAUCCAGCCCGAAAUGUCAGCAGGGCCGAGGUUGAGAAACGCUAUCUCGAGGAACCAUAUUGCUGAAAUCACACCUUUGACGUUUCAGUUAGAUAUUUUUUCAAAACAUUAAAUCUUAAAUUCAUAAUAUUGAAAAGCUCCUUUCGGUGCCCUCAAAAACCAUCCCAGAGGACUCUCAGAGGUAGGUGUGCCCCACUUUGGGAAAUGUGACUCCCCACGCUUAGGAGAGAACUUCUAGGGUGCAUUCUUAAAAUGCUGGCCUUUCUCUUCUUUAUCAGUCUCUGCCCAGAAAGAAAACGUACAGGCUCAAACCCUGGGCACAUAGUCUGUGCCCAGAAUUCUGGAAGCCAAAACUCACUGGGGUGGAGUGCCCGUAGCCUGGAUGGAUGGCUCUGGGUGGUUCUGGAUGGUUCCGUCCUUGGCCUUGCUCUAUCUUUCACUAUGGAUAUGGCCCAAACAGCCCUUCAAAACCUCCUUGGAAAAGAACAGUCACGUGCCCUCGGUUCCGGCCAGCAUGCUGGGAGUGUAACAGCUCAACCCUCCACAAUGACCUCUCAGAGACCCCAGCCCUGGUCCGUAGCCACCCGUGGCACAAGGUGGGUUU